rnacentral:lncRNA from 1 species
CCCUACAGUGGUAAAGUUAAAUGAUGAACUUAAUCUUGUGUUGACAAGGAUUAGAGAACGAGUGGCAUCUAGACAAUGUUGACAACUUGACGAGUGGCAUGACAAGUACUGUAUAGAUGAAAAUACUUGUUGCAUGUUGAACAUAUAGAUGAAAUAGUUCCUAAGUGGAUGUUGACCCUAGUAGCAGGGUAUCCUCUGUGACGAGGAUUUGAUCAUACUCACAUGUCUGUUCAGAGCUUGUAGGUGGUCGCUCCACACAAGCAGUGCACUCCGGAGUUGUCACACGAUAGGGAUAGCCUUAUGGGGUCCCGAGGGAUAGCCUUAUGGGGUCCCGCAGACGGUCUUGGGCGAGUGAGCGGAUCCUCCCCAAGUGAGUCGGGUGAGUGAGCUGAUCCUCACCUGUGAGAUUGAGAUUGGGUUGUGGUACCUGUGUUGAGUCGGGCGAGUGAGCAGAUCCUCUUCGUUGAGAUUAGAUUGUGAGUCGGGCGAGUGAGCAGAUCCUCCCCGUUGAGAUUAGAUUGUGAGUCGGGCAAGUGAGCGGAUCCUCCCCGUUGUGAUUAGAUUGUGAGUCGGGCGAGUGAGCAGAUCCUCCCCUUUGAGACUAGAUUGUGAGUUGGGUGAGUGAGCGGAUCCUCACCCUUGUUAUUGAGUGGAUUGC